AGUCCUGUUACCAAGGAAAAAAACAUCCCAAAACCUAAAAACCAUUUUCAUUUAUUAUUUAACAUGCCCUCCAAAGAAUCCCUCUAGGGCUUCACAACCGCCCUGUGAGGCAGAUUGGGAUGAAAGAUGACAACUUGGACCACAGACAACUUGGACCAUAUGAUAGCAAUCUAAAUUGGAAGGCACAACGAGAAGCAUUACAAUGUUUUACAUGCUUACUCUGUAAUUUCAAAAUUAAUCAGGCAGCAGGUAAUUAGUUGUGCUUUCAAGACUGGAGACGUAUUUAUGGUGCAGAACAUUUAUCUUAACUUGCAAAGUAAAUGAGGUUUUAUCCACAGAGCCAACUUGACUCAGCAACCUUGAUUCUGUGAAACGAACAAGCUCACUGAUGUGGUAAAAUCAGCUGUUGCCAUGAAGGGGUGACAGAAAUGUACAUUAAGCUGACAAGAAGAAGCUUCAGGUGGUGGUGUACAUGGCUCUCCCCUCCAAUUUUUGCCUCACAACCACCCCCUGAGGUCAGUUAGAUUGAAAGGAAAUUACUAGGCCAAGCUUCGCUGAGGUGAUUUAGAGACAUAUGCAAAAAAAACCGGAAGAAAACACGAAAAUAUUUGUGUCUGAGGUAUAUUUUUCUACACUGCCAACCCAUGCUAGCUGGUUGUUCUAAAUGAAAGACUGGAAUUUUUGGAGAACACAUUGAAAACCCCUAUAAAAUAUUCUCAUUCCCUCUCUUGGAAUGAGUGACAUGCUUUUUAAAGUGACAGGACUUUACUCAAACUGAAUAUAUAAGAUGAAAAAUGUAUGUGAGACAAUUCAAAGCAUUCGAUAAUGGUAAGUUGUGUGUAUAUAUACUUGAAAAUUUGUUGCACAUUUAUUAAAAAUGUGAACCAUUUUGACUACAAUUAAGAUGCUAUGUUACUGAACAGUUGAAAUGUUUUCAAUGUUAUCAAGUUUAAUGUGAUAACC